rnacentral:lncRNA from 1 species
CAGCCCGCACCUGCCCCCCCAACCAGUUCUCCUGUGCCAGUGGCCGCUGCAUCCCCAUCUCCUGGACGUGUGAUCUGGAUGACGACUGUGGGGACCGCUCUGAUGAGUCUGCUUCGUGUGCCUAUCCCACCUGCUUCCCCCUGACUCAGUUUACCUGCAACAAUGGCAGAUGUAUCAACAUCAACUGGAGAUGCGACAAUGACAAUGACUGUGGGGACAACAGUGACGAAGCCGGCUGCAGCCACUCCUGUUCUAGCACCCAGUUCAAGUGCAACAGCGGGCGUUGCAUCCCCGAGCACUGGACCUGCGAUGGGGACAAUGACUGCGGAGACUACAGUGAUGAGACACACGCCAACUGCACCAACCAGGGCCCCCUGGUGGCUGCCACACUGAUGAGUUCCAGUGCCGGCUGGAUGGACUAUGCAUCCCCCUGCGGUGGCGCUGCGAUGGGGACACUGACUGCAUGGACUCCAGCGAUGAGAAGAGCUGUGAGGGAGUGACCCACGUCUGCGAUCCCAGUGUCAAGUUUGGCUGCAAGGACUCAGCUCGGUGCAUCAGCAAAGCGUGGGUGUGUGAUGGCGACAAUGACUGUGAGGAUAACUCGGACGAGGAGAACUGCGAGUCCCUGGCCUGCAGGCCACCCUCGCACCCUUGUGCCAACAACACCUCAGUCUGCCUGCCCCCUGACAAGCUGUGUGAUGGCAACGACGACUGUGGCGACGGCUCAGAUGAGGGCGAGCUCUGCGACCAGUGCUCUCUGAAUAACGGUGGCUGCAGCCACAACUGCUCAGUGGCACCUGGCGAAGGCAUUGUGUGUUCCUGCCCUCUGGGCAUGGAGCUGGGGCCCGACAACCACACCUGCCAGAUCCAGAGCUACUGUGC